rnacentral:lncRNA from 1 species
UGAUCUUAAAACGUUAUUUGUAGCCGUUUCAUUUACAAUUCCAAAUCAGGAAGUAAUUUGUUGUUCCGAAAGCGAAAGCGGGUUGAAUAAUUUCUUAAACAGAUUUGACUUUGUUGUCAUAAUUCAAGCAAUUUAACGAUGCCUACUAUUGUCGUCCAUGUCUGGAGACCAGAUGCAAGCCAUGUUGGUCACUGCGCCUUAGAUUUAGGUGAUGAACCUACAUAAGCUGGUGGCCUCAGUCUCAAUGUGAUGCUAAAAACCCAAGAGCUAGAGCCGUUGCAAAUACUUCGCACAUCAUCGACAUUGAGGGAGAAGGAGGUAGACAGCCAUACUCCUACAGAAUUCAUGUCUCAGAUGGAGAACUGAAUGCCAUUAAGCGUUGGUGGACAGGCUUCAAGGACAAGGCAGACUACCAAAUUGUCUCAAACAAUUGCUCGACAGUAGCUUACUACGCCCAAGAGGCCGCCUUUCCAUUUCUGGAAGUCCUCAAUGACGAAGUUGAUGUUUGGGUACCAAGAGCAAUAGAAAUGGUUGCUGAAGACCUGGCAUCUGGAAAAAGGACUUUCGAUCAGAAAAGAAUUAAAGAAAUUAAGGAAGCGGCGCAUGCUGAAGCUAAAAGGGUCGCAGGUCGUUUUAAAGGGAUGUUUGUGAAAGGCAGCACAACCGGAAAAGCUGGAAGAAAAUGACGUUGUUUAUUUCGAUGCUAUGCUAAAAGCAUGGUUAUAUAAUUUUUGUAACUUUAAACCUUCAAAAUCUUAGUAUGCAUGUAUAAUUUUUAAAUUUUUCGAACAAUUCUUUGAUAUCUUGAUAUUUAAUGUUUGAACAGUAAAUCAAACUGUACAUUACUAAAAUACUUGUACAUACUGCCUAAUGCCGUUUCACACUUUGAAUUAUUUUACGACCAUUUUGGUCAAGUAUUGUGCAUUGAGUAUCACUUACCAUGUUACUUCUUCAUAGUAUCUUUCCAUGAACAUUUUAUACGUUUUAAUCAGCUAAUUACUUGGUGAUGGCAUAUAGUUAAUAUUAAUGCCAUUUUUUUAUUAUAUAAUUCCUUUUAUAAAUCGCCUGUCAACAGUUUGUGCUAUCUGACUACAUAAUAAUAAUUAUGGAAGAACAAAA